rnacentral:rRNA from 1 species
UAGGGAAUAUUGCAAAAUGGGCGAAAGCCCGAUGCAGCAACGCCGCGUGGGCGAUGAAGGCCUUCGGGUCGUAAAGCCCUUUUUGAGGGGAUGAGGAAGGACAGUACCCUCAGAAUAAGCCUCGGCUAACUACGUGCCAGCAGCCGCGGUAAAACGUAGGAGGCGAGCGUUGUCCGGAUUUACUGGGUGUAAAGGGUGCUCAGGCGGAUUUGUAAGUCAGAGGUGAAAUCUUACAGCUUAACUGUGAAACUGCCUUUGAUACUGCAAGCCUAGAGUAUGGAAGAGAGUGAUGGAAUAUCUGGUGUAGCAGUGAAAUGCGUAGAUAUCAGAUAGAACACCAAUGGCGAAGGCAGUCACUUGGUCCAUUACUGACGCUAAAGCACGAAAGCGUGGGUAGCAAACA